rnacentral:rRNA from 1 species
UACGAAGGGGGGCUAGCGUUGCUCGGAAUCACUGGGCGUAAAGCGCACGUAGGCGGCUUUCUAAGUCAGGGGUGAAAUCCUGGAGCUCAACUCCAGAACUGCCUUUGAUACUGGAGUGCUUGAGUCCGGGAGAGGUGAGGUGGAACUCCGAGUGUAGAGGUGAAAUUCGUAGAUAUUCGGAAGAACACCAGUGGCGAAGGCGGCUCACUGGCCCGGUACUGACGCUGAUGUGCGAAAGCGUGGGGAGCAAACAGG